UUUCCUGAUCGAGAACCGAGCUUAGCUUGGGUGGUUAGCCCAGCGAGGUAUGUUGGCUGCCCACCAGGGUUCGAUCCAACAAGGUCGCAUUCUAUAUAAAUAAUUUUCGUAAGGUGAGGCACCAAAAUGCAAUCCAAUCACGCCUCUCCUACAAUAUAUAUCUAUAAUUUUGUAAGGUGAGGCACCAGAAUGCGACCCAAUCACGCCUCUACUACAAUAUGUAUAUAAUUUUCGUAAGGUGAGGCGCCAGAAUGUGACCUUGUGGGAUCGGACCCUGGUGUGCAGCCAGCAUACCUCGCUGGGCUAACCUAACACCCAAGCUGAGCUCAGUUCUCUUCU